GCCUGCUACCACGUAAGACGGGCCUUUCACCUUCCACCAUGAAUGUGAGGCCUCCCCAGCCAUGUGGAACUGUCCAGGGAUGGAGCAAUAUCGCAGUCGCACCUUGCAUUCCCUGGAAUAUUCCUUCCUAAUUAGUCUGCUCUUCUAUCCCACUGGAAAAUUCCAGCCUCUGCAUCCUUUCCACUUGGACAAUAACUUCUAACAGUGCGAGAAACACUAGUUUGAAAGCCAACCCAUCAUACCUGAGGAAAAGAGAUGGUUCAUGCAAUUGCUGGUUGUUAAGAAAAGGAGACUGGCACUUCUUCUCCUCUCUCUUGCUCCUGUUCUUGCUGUGUGACGUG